rnacentral:rRNA from 1 species
GAUGAACGCUGGCGGCGUGCCUAAUACAUGCAAGUCGAGCGAACAGACGAGGAGCUUGCUCCUCUGACGUUAGCGGCGGACGGGUGAGUAACACGUGGAUAACCUACCUAUAAGAUUGGGAUAACUUCGGGAAACCGGAGCUAAUACCGGAUAAUAUAUUGAACCGCAUGGUUCAAUAGUGAAAGACGGUUUUGCUGUCACUUAUAGAUGGAUCCGCGCCGCAUUAGCUAGUUGGUAAGGUAACGGCUUACCAAGGCGACGAUGCGUAGCCGACCUGAGAGGGGGGACCGGCCACCCGGAAACUGGGACCCGGUCCAGACCCCUAGGGGAGGCAGCGGUAGGGAACCUUCCGAAAUGGCCGAAAGCCUAACGGAGAAACGCCGGGUGAGUGAGGAAGGCCUUCGAUUCGUAAAACUCUGUUAUUGGGGAAGAACAAAUGUGUAGGUAACUAUGCACGUCUUGACGGUACCUAAGCAGAAAGCCACGGCUACCUACGU